rnacentral:rRNA from 1 species
UACGAAGGGGGCUAGCGUUGCUCGGAAUCACUGGGCGUAAAGCGCACGUAGGCGGAUUGCUAAGUCAGGGGUGAAAUCCUGGAGCUCAACUCCAGAACUGCCUUUGAUACUGGCGAUCUCGAGUCCGGGAGAGGUGAGUGGAACUGCGAGUGUAGAGGUGAAAUUCGUAGAUAUUCGCAAGAACACCAGUGGCGAAGGCGGCUGUCUGGUCCGGUUCUGACGCUGAGGCGCGAAAGCGUGGGGAGCAAACAGG